AAGGCGAAUUUUUCUAACCUAAAUUUUUUUUUUUUGCAGAUUAACAAGGCGAGAAAGUAAGUUUACAAAAUCGACUGGACAUUGCUGGCCGUGAUACGAGUAUCAUACGAUAUCUGUUUUAGUUGCAGUUGCUUGAUGGUUAUACGUUUAACCAAACCGAUACCUUUGAAACAGCAUGUUGAAGGAGAAACUUUGCAAUAUCAUCUAUGACAUCAAAUCGUAACAUUACCCGACGGUUGUGUGAUAAAGAUAUUGAGGCGCUGUUCCAACCGCAUUUAAUAAACGUUGGAGAACAAGGCAUCGCUAGAUCAGUGUUUAACACCAUACAAGCGGGCUUGAAGAUAUAUGACUGGAAUUGUACAAGCACAUCGUGCGCGAGUUAACAGACUGUUGUUUGUCGCGAGUAAAAGAAAUUAUAUUUAU